rfam:Planococcus sp. PAMC 21323, complete genome.
GAGUAGGAUAGAGGCGCAAAAACCAUCAGUACGCAAAACGAGGACGAUGAGGUCCAUUGACGUUUGCCGAAAGGGGGAUUUGCCGAAGUGACGGAAAACUCAUAUUUCCGUGCGCUGGGUCUGUAUUUAACAAAUACAGGACUGUCAUAUAGGAAACUAUAUGGAGGGCUAUCUGAUGC